UACGAAGGGGGCUAGCGUUGCUCGGAAUCACUGGGCGUAAAGCGCACGUAGGCGGACAUUUAAGUCGGUGGUGAAAUCCUGGAGCUCAACUCCAGAACUGCCUUCGAUACUGGAUGUCUUGGAGUCCGGGAGAGGUGAGUGGAACUGCGAGUGUAGAGGUGAAAUUCGUAGAUAUUCGCAAGAACACCAGUGGCGAAGGCGGCUCACUGGCCCGGUACUGACGCUGAGGUGCGAAAAGCGUGGGGGAGCAAACAGGG
rnacentral:rRNA from 1 species